rnacentral:tRNA from 1 species
GGCGUUGUGUCCCGAGCGGCAAAGGGAGCGGGCUGUAAACUCGUCGGCGGAAGCCUUCGCAGGUUCGAGUCCUGCCAGCGCCA